rnacentral:rRNA from 1 species
AGAGUUUGAUCCUGGCUCAGAACGAACGCUGGCGGCAUGCCUAACACAUGCAAGUCGAACGAGGGCCCCGCUUCGGUGGGACCCUAGUGGCGCACGGGUGAGUAACGCGUGGGAACCUGCCCUGUGGUACGGAAUAACUCCGGGAAACUGGAGCUAAUACCGUAUGCGUCCUGCGGGACAAAGAUUUAUCGCCAUGGGAUGGGCCCGCGUAGGAUUAGCUUGUUGGUGGGGUAACGGCCUACCAAGGCUUCGAUCCUUAGCUGGUCUGAGAGGAUGAUCAGCCACACUGGGACUGAGACACGGCCCAGACUCCUACGGGAGGCAGCAGUGGGGAAUAUUGGACAAUGGGCGCAAGCCUGAUCCAGCAAUGCCGCGUGAGUGAUGAAGGCCUUCGGGUUGUAAAGCUCUUUCGCACGCGACGAUGAUGACGGUAGCGUGAGAAGAAGCCCCGGCUAACUUCGUGCCAGCAGCCGCGGUAAUACGAAGGGGGCUAGCGUUGUUCGGAAUUACUGGGCGUAAAGGGCGCGUAGGCGGUACUUCAAGUCAGGCGUGAAAGCCCCGGGCUCAACCUGGGAACCGCGCUUGAGACUGGAGAACUAGAGUUCGGGAGAGGAUGGUGGAAUUCCCAGUGUAGAGGUGAAAUUCGUAGAUAUUGGGAAGAACACCGAUGGCGAAGGCAGCCAUCUGGACCGACACUGACGCUGAGGCGCGAAAGCGUGGGGAGCAAACAGGAUUAGAUACCCUAGUAGUCC